rnacentral:rRNA from 1 species
UGGGGAAUUUUGGACAAUGGGCGCAAGCCUGAUCCAGCAAUGCCGCGUGAGUGAAGAAGGCCUUCGGGUUGUAAAGCUCUUUUGUCAGGGAAGAAACGGGAGUGGCUAAUAUCCAUUCUUAAUGACGGUACCUGAAGAAUAAGCACCGGCUAACUACGUGCCAGCAGCCGCGGUAAUACGUAGGGUGCAAGCGUUAAUCGGAAU